GACGAACGCUGGCGGCGUGCUUAACACAUGCAAGUCGAACGGAAAGGCCCUGCUUUUGUGGGGUGCUCGAGUGGCGAACGGGUGAGUAACACGUGAGUAACCUGCCUUUGACUUUGGGAUAACUUCAGGAAACUGGGGCUAAUACCGGAUAGGAGCUCCUGCUGCAUGGUGGGGGUUGGAAAGUUUCGGCGGUUGGGGAUGGACUCGCGGCUUAUCAGCUUGUUGGUGGGGUAGUGGCUUACCAAGGCUUUGACGGGUAGCCGGCCUGAGAGGGUGACCGGCCACAAUGGGACUGCGAUACGGCCCAGACUCCUACGGGAGGCAGCAGUGGGGAAUAUUGCACAAUGGGCGGACGCCUGAUGCAGCAACGCCGCGUGCGGGAUGACGGCCUUCGGGUUGUAAACCGCUUUCGCCUGUGACGAAGCGUGAGUGACGGUAAUGGGUAAAGAAGCACCGGCUAACUACGUG
rnacentral:rRNA from 1 species